GCUGUGAUGAAUUUAAUUGCAGUGAUCAUCUGAAAUGAUCAUUUUGUCCUCUAAGAAGUUCUGAGCUU